GAUGAACGCUGGCGGCGUGCCUAAUACAUGCAAGUCGAGCGAACGGACGAGAAGCUUGCUUCUCUGAUGUUAGCGGCGGACGGGUGAGUAACACGUGGAUAACCUACCUAUAAGACUGGGAUAACUUCGGGAAACCGUAGCUAAUACCGGAUAAUAUUUUGAACCGCAUGGUUCAAAAGUGAAAGACGGUCUUGCUGUCACUUAUAGAUGGAUCCGCGCUGCAUUAGCUAGUUGGUAAGGUAACGGCUUACCAAGGCAACGAUGCAUAGCCGACCUGCGAGGGUGAUCGGCCACACUGGAACUGAGACACGGUCCAGACUCCUACGGGAGGCAGCAGUAGGGAAUCUUCCGCAAUGGGCGAAAGCCUGACGGAGCAACGCCGCGUGAGUGAUGAAGGUCUUCGGAUCGUAAAACUCUGUUAUUAGGGAAGAACAUAUGUGUAAGUAACUGUGCACAUCUUGACGGUACCUAAUCAGAAAGCCACGGCUAACUACGUG
rnacentral:rRNA from 1 species